GAUCGGCCCGCGUCUGAUUAGGUUGUUGGCGGGGUAACGGCCCACCAAGCCGGUGAUCGGUAGCUGGUCUGAGAGGAUGAUCAGCCACACUGGGACUGAGACACGGCCCACACUCCUACGGGAGGCAGCAGUGGGGAAUAUUGGACAAUGGGGGCAACCCCGAUCCAGCAAUGCCGCGUGAGUGAUGAAGGCCUUCGGGUUGUAAAGCUCUUUCGCCCGCGACGAUGAUGACGGUAGCGGGAGAAGAAGCCCCGGCUAACUUCGUGCCAGCAGCCGCGGUAAUACGAAGGGGGCGAGCGUUGUUCGGAUUUACUGGGCGUAAAGGGCGCGCAGGCGGUUUUUCAAGUCAGGCGUGAAAGCCCCGGGCUCAACCUGGGAAUUGCGCUUGGGACUGGAGGACUGGAGUUCGGGAGAGGAGCGUGGAAUUCCCAGUGUAGAGGUGAAAUUCGUAGAUAUUGGGAAGAACACCGGUGGCGAAAGCUGCGCUCUGGACCGAGACUGACGCUGAAGCGCGAAAGCGUGAGGAGCAAACAGGAUUAGAUACCCUGGUAGUCCACGCGGUAAACGAUGUGUGCUAGACGUUGGGGAACCUAACUUUUCGGUGUCCCAGCCCACGCGGGUAGCCCACCGCCUGGGGGAG
rnacentral:rRNA from 1 species